rnacentral:rRNA from 1 species
GACGAACGCUGGCGGCGUGCUUAACACAUGCAAGUCGAACGGAAAGGCCCUGCUUUUGUGGGGUGCUCGAGUGGCGAACGGGUGAGUAACACGUGAGUAACCUGCCCUUGACUUUGGGAUAACUUCAGGAAACUGGGGCUAAUACCGGAUAGGAGCUCCUGCUGCAUGGUGGGGGUUGGAAAGUUUCGGCGGUUGGGGAUGGACUGGCGGCUUAUCAGCUUGUUGGUGGGGUAGUGGCUUACCAAGGCUUUGACGGGUAGCCGGCCUGAGAGGGUGACCGGCCACAUUGGGACUGAGAUACGGCCCAGACUCAUACGGGGGGCAGCAGUGGGGAAUAUUGCACAAUGGGCGGAAGCCUGAUGCAGAAACGCCGCGUGCGGGAUGACGGCCUUCGGGUUGUAAAACGCUUUAGCCUGUGACGAAGCGUGAGUGACGGUAAUGGGUAAAGAAGCACCGGCUAACUACGUG